rnacentral:rRNA from 2 species
GUCCUUUAGAUAUUAAUUUAAGGUCUAACCUGCCCACUGAAAUAUUUUAAAUGGCCGCAGUAAUUUGACUGUGCAAAGGUAGCAUAAUCAUUAGUUUUUUAAUUAAAAGCUUGUAUGAAAGGUUGGACGAAGUAAAAUCUGUCUCUAAUUAAAUUAAUUUAGAAUUUAACUUUUAAGUUAAAAGGCUUAAAUUUAACUAAAAGACGAGAAGACCCUAUAGAUCUUUAUAUUUUUAUUAUUAAAUUUAAUUAAGAAUUUUUAAAAUUUUAUUAAUUUAAAUAUUUUAUUGGGGUAAUAUAAAGAUUUAAAUAAUUCUUUUUUUUUAUUAACAUUAAUUUAUGAUUUUUAUGAUCCAAUUAUAUUGAUUUUAAGAUUAAGUUACCUUAGGGAUAACAGCGUAAUUUUUUUAGAGAGUUCUUAUCGAUAAAAAAGUUUGCGACCUCGAUGUUGGAUUAAAGAUUAUUUUAGGUGUAGAAGCUUAAAAAUUUUGGUCUGUUCGACCAUUAAAUCUUUACAUGAUCUGAGUUCAGACCGGUGUAAGCCAGGUCGGUUUCUAUCUUUAGUAAAUUAAAAUAUUUCAGUACGAAAGGACCAAUUAUUUAAUAUAAAUAUUUAUAUUUUGAUUAUUAUUAA